rnacentral:lncRNA from 1 species
GGGGUCAAGAUUGAAAAACCUAGCUAGUUUGUCUUGGAAGGAAUUAAAGAACUAUCGUGCACACAUUUGUUGACAGAGGAAAUUUGGAAAAAUUCAAUAAGUCGCAAUAGAUUGGUAAUUUAGAAGAAUACCAAGAGAAGUUUGAACAGUUGAAAACUUUGAUGCUCCGCAGGAGUAAUAAGACUUAGUGAACGACAUUCUGUCUCCAGUUUCAUUAGCAGGCUUAGAGAAGAAAUUAGGCACGGUAAUCUAAACUAUGAGAUUUUCCCUCAAAUUUACUCUCAAAACUCGACUCAAUUUUUCAAGUAAUAAUCUACUACUCUAGUAGUAUUUAUGCAUUAUUAAACUUAUUAAACAAAUACAAUUAUAAACUGAAACUUAUUUGGAACUGAUUUGAAAUCUCCUAAACCAAUAUGGGAACUAAACAAACAAGACACCGAAACAAGAAACUAGAAGAAUUAGAAAACUAAAUACUAAGAUAGUUGGGUUUAAUUUCCUUUAUUGCCUUCCUUAAACCAUGCUCGUUAUUGUGCUCACCUCCAAUGUCAUUUCGAACUUGAAUCUCUAUGAAAAACUCAGUUGCAGUAGACACAACAUUUAACUCCAACUUAUGAUUGAUUUUUAGUUUCAUCUUUACACGUAACAGUGGUUGAAACUUAUACUUUUUGAACAAUUUCUUACCUUGAUCACUUAUGUCAAAAAAGGUAAACAUGUUCAUCCAAACUCCAUUCAUUACUCCACAUCACCAAGAAAAUUUUCCAACACUAGAAAAUCAUAGUUGCCACCUCCAAUGUUUUUAACAUCACCAUAUUUUUCCUUUAAUUUUUUCACACUAACAAUUGCAUCAAUUUUAACAAUCGCAUCUUUCGCUUCAAAAAAUUCAUCAACCGCAAUGAAAUAAAAAAUUUCUCUCUUAUCACAAUCUUUAGUUACAUUUUCCAUAUCACUAACGACUUCACUUUCUUUCUCAACCACAUGUGAAAUUUCUUUUUCAGCCACAAAUUUUUCUUCUUCAUGUGUACCCAUAAUUUCUGCAAUUUCCUCUUUCUUUGACUCAUUAAAAAAAAAAUUUCUCCUACUUCGUCACAAAAUUCUUCUCCACCAUGACCAUAGAUGAUAGGGUGCAAUUUUAUCAUUUAUUUUAUUAUCAAUUUUCCCUAUUACCUGACCCAAUGUGAAUUAUUUGGUGGAUUCUACUCAUUUUUAGUAUUUUGCGUUUAUUUCAGGGAGUAGAACGAAAAUAUGUUAACAAGUGCCUAUUUGACAGAAAAGAAGUCCAAGUCACAGAGCUUAUCUCGGGGGCAUUGUUGGCAAAGGCAAACUUUUGCCCAUUUUAGUAAUUGCCGAAGACAAAAGGGCGAGAAAGGGGAGUCUUCUUAUUGGAUUGGCUGCCGCACAGUAGGAGGAUUUAAUUUCCUUUAUUGCCUUCCUUAAACCAUGCUCGUUAUUGUGCUCACCUCCAAUGUCAUUUCGAACUUGAAUCUCUAUGAAAAACUCAGUUGCAGUAGACACAACAUUUAACUCCAACUUAUGAUUGAUUUUUAGUUUCAUCUUUACACGUAACAGUGGUUGAAACUUAUACUUUUUGAACAAUUUCUUACCUUGAUCACUUAUGUCAAAAAAGGUAAACAUGUUCAUCCAAACUCCAUUCAUUACUCCACAUCACCAAGAAAAUUUUCCAACACUAGAAAAUCAUAGUUGCCACCUCCAAUGUUUUUAACAUCACCAUAUUUUUCCUUUAAUUUUUUCACACUAACAAUUGCAUCAAUUUUAACAAUCGCAUCUUUCGCUUCAAAAAAUUCAUCAACCGCAAUGAAAUAAAAAAUUUCUCUCUUAUCACAAUCUUUAGUUACAUUUUCCAUAUCACUAACGACUUCACUUUCUUUCUCAACCACAUGUGAAAUUUCUUUUUCAGCCACAAAUUUUUCUUCUUCAUGUGUACCCAUAAUUUCUGCAAUUUCCUCUUUCUUUGACUCAUUAAAAAAAAAAUUUCUCCUACUUCGUCACAAAAUUCUUCUCCACCAUGACCAUAGAUGAUAGGGUGCGAUUUUAUCAUUUAUUUUAUUAUCAAUUUUCCCUAUUACCUGACCCAAUGUGAAUUAUUUGGUGGAUUCUACUCAUUUUUAGUAUUUUGCGUUUAUUUCAGGGAGUAGAACGAAAAUAUGUUAACAAGUGCCUAUUUGACAGAAAAGAAGUCCAAGUCACAGAGCUUAUCUCGGGGGCAUUGUUGGCAAAGGCAAACUUUUGCCCAUUUUAGUAAUUGCCGAAGACAAAAGGGCGAGAAAGGGGAGUCUUCUUAUUGGAUUGGCUGCCGCACAGUAGGAGGAUGCUUAGUUAGUACUUAGAUACGAAAUGGAGAUUGCAGGGGAUUAGGACUAUCUCGGGAGAGCUUUUGCUCUCUGACUUUUCUUUUGUUAGUUUAGGCGUAGCUUCAAUUCACGCAUGUCAGGAGAACAUAGGAGACCUUUGACUUUUCUUUUCGGCUUUUAGUAUCUUUUCCUUCCUUCGUAUGAUGAGAUGAAGGGAAGACAUUAAAUCAACCUCUGCAACUUUGCUUUUCUUUAUGCCUUCGAUCGAAUUGAAUUUGCCCAUUUUCCAAUUAAUGGCCGCUGCGUUCUAUUCGAGUUCGUGUGGGUCUUUCACAUUGGGGAUGAACUAAAUUCCCUUUUCUAGUCAAGGAGCAAAGGAUGCUUUGCCUCACCUAAAAUUGUGAGAUCGAUUUAAUUUUACCUUUUUCUUUUAUUUAUUAGUAUUCGCAUAUUCCCUGGUUACAGUACUUAUGAUUGUUUAAUUAAUUGAUUGUCUUGGAUCCGGAUAAUUAGUUAAUAUGAUAAUCUAUUGUCAAUUGGGACGUUAAAUCUGUAAUUGUUUAAUUGUCUCAAAAUAGUGAUAACUGGCAUGAUUGGAUUUGUGUCAGGGAAAUACGCGGGCUAAUAUAAAAUAACCCUGGUAGUGCGUUAUUUGGUUAGAAUAGAGCUCCUUUAAUACGUAAGGCAAUUGGAGAAUUAAAUCUUAUGGGCGUACCUAAGAUUAUUUCUCAAUUAGAGCAGUGAUUAACGAGCGUACCUUAAUCAUCGACACAGUAAGGAGGAGUUAACUGUCAUCGCUUGUUUGACAGUUAUAACCUAUUUAUUAGUAAAUAAUUGGAAUUGCCUUUGUUUCAAUGAUCAAUUAGGUGAACCAUUGCUGACGUUAUUCCUUGGCUAGAUUCUUAAUUAUCACUCAUUUGAUUUUAGUAAAUUGUUAUUUAAUUUCUAGUUGGCUAUUUUAUUUUUGUUAUUUUAUUUUUAGUUGAAUUGCUUACAUUAUCACCCCGAUAUAAAAACACCCCUUGUCACUGUGAAUUUGAAAAGAAACAAUUACUCCCAGUCCCUGUGGAUUCGACCCUGCUCACCACUAUCUACAGAAAUUACUUUUAGUUUGAGCAGGUUUCAGGUUGACAACCUGUCAAUAGAAAUUCGUCAAAAUUUUCCAAACCUCUGUUGCUAUAUUUACAUCUAUAAAUUUUUUGGCUACAUGCAAUUGGACUUGGGUGUUGAGAUAUUGGAAUGCCUUGCAAUCUAACUAUUUAUUCUUCUCUAACUCUUAAACUGCUGGAUAAUUCGUUCCUUUUAUAGGUUUCGUGAACCCCUUUUAGACAAAAUCCCAAAUUCCAAUAGCUUGAAAUUUUUUUUUUCAUCAUCCAACUCCAAAUUUCAAAAUCAUUUUUACCAUCAAAAAUAAAAACAUCACAACGUGAUGAAUAACAUUGAUCCAUGCUUCAAUUUCAUGAACAAGCCCUAGAAUCAAAGUCCAGACCUCUAAUACUUUGUAGGAAAAUAGACCAUAGGAUAAAUAAUCAAAACAAAUCACACACUCGAAGAAAUAGCAUGGCAGCGAAAUAUUUAUAAACAAACAAAUGGAAGGGGCUCAAGAAAGAAAUGAAGGAAACUAAUUCCUAAACUAAUAUAAAAACUAAACAAACAAGACACCAAAACAAGAAAUUAGAAGAAUUAGGAAACUAAAUACUAAGAUAGCUUGGUUUAAUUUCCUUCGGUUAGUGAAACUAGUUAGGAAAGGAGUUUGGUAGUCAUUCCUUUCUUAUAGUCAAUCUUUCCCUCUGCAUCUCUUUCUUCUUCUCUCGUUCUGAUCAUUCCUCGUUCUUCAACUAAUUCUUUCCUUCUCUAGUUCAUUUUUCUCCCAAAUCAAUACUUAAUUUGGACUCCAAUGCUUGAGUCCCUAAUAGUUGUUGGUAUGAAACAGUUGACUCUGGCUUCUUGAAUACCCCCUGAUCAUGGCUGAAACUACUUGUUUUAAGUCUUUGAAGGAGCAGGUCAAGAAACAGAAGCAAGGUUGAACAAGGCUCUGGCUUCCAUAGGAAAUUUUUAGCAGCAGUUAGACUCCAUGAAUAAUUUCCAGCAACCUUUUAAAGAUGAGUGGGAAAGGAAUGGCAAGAAGAUGGAGUCCAUGAUUCAUAAUAUGCAUCAGAAAUUCAGCUCCUCUAUGAUGCUGAUGUCUUGUAAAGACAAUCAGAAAGUGAUCUGCGAAGAAGAAAAUUUUGGGAUUCCCACCUCCUAGAAGCAACAGAAGUUGCUGUCCACCAAUGAGCCUGGAGCGACUACUAAGGAGAACUGGAGUAGGCUUCCUUUUCCCAGUUACUCUUAAGGUUGAAUUACCUAUGUUCUUUGGGGAUAAUCUCAGGGAAUGACUCAGAAAAUGCCAUAAAUUAUUCUUGUUUUACAAAUUUUUUUGAUGAAAAUAGAAUGAAUGUGAUUGGAAUGUAUUAUGAGGGAAUAACAGAUACCUAGUUUCUGGGGGUCAAGAUUGAAAAACCUAGCUAGUUUGUCUUGGAAGGAAUUAAAGAACUAUCGUGCACACAUUUGUUGACAGAGGAAAUUUGGAAAAAUUCAAUAAGUCGCAAUAGAUUGGUAAUUUAGAAGAAUACCAAGAGAAGUUUGAACAGUUGAAAACUUUGAUGCUCCGCAGGAGUAAUAAGACUUAGUGAACGACAUUCUGUCUCCAGUUUCAUUAGCAGGCUUAGAGAAGAAAUUAGGCACGGUCAAGAUGUUCAAACCUGAGAUUUUAAUAGUAGCAUUUGACGUAGACAGAUUAGACAAGGGGGUAGGCAGAAUGUGGACUCC